ensembl:lncRNA
UGAUAGACGGGCUUUGAGAAGUGGAAAUGAAAGAUGGCGCCAAGGUUUUUGAUCUGAGUAACUACAGGAAUGGAAUUCCCCUUAGUGAAGUGAGGAAUGUCACAAUAGCAAGUGAUGACAUCAAGUAAACAACUGUAUAAACAAAUCUGCAGUUUGGUGGGGAAUUUAGGAUACAGAUAUCCAUUCGUGGGUCAUUGGCAGUCCUAUAUGAGAUCACCUAGGGAAAGAGUGGAAACAGAAAAGAGAUGAAGUCCAGGGACUGAGGCCUCGUUUGGGAAGAUGUGGACAGACUAGUGAAAGAGACUGUAAAGACAUGACUGGAGAAAUAAAUAUAAAGAGAAGGUGAAACCCUGAAAGCUAAAUGAAGAAAGUGUUCUAAGCAGGAAUGAUCACUGUGUCAACUGAAGCUGACAGGUCAAGCAAGGCCAGCAUCGGCAACCGAACGAUAGAGAAGCUGGCCCAUUGAAUGCCUGAUCCGCUGAUCUACAGAGUAGGACCCCAGCCAAGGGGCUCCUCUGUAUGCCUGACACAUGGAACAACAGAAAAGAACCCCAGGCAAAGCAGUCCUCUAAGUGCCUGAAUGGAUGGAGCUAUGGAGAAAGAAUGGCCAUAGAGGCCUUCUGGUCACCAGCUAAAAGAGGCGCAAAAAAAGACGGGUAGGGCCAUAACUCCUGCAGCAGAGGCAGUCCAUGUCCCUUCACACUUGUCACCACCAGGGUCUCUGCAAGCCAAGCAGCUGUGCCGUCUUCACACUCAACUUUCACUGGGGCAGAGCUGCCACAGGCAAAAAGAAGUCUUGCAUCUAUGCACACAGGGUCAAUUUGGUCGUGUCAAACUCUGUGACCCUGUGGACUGUGGCCUGCCAGGCUUCUCUGUCAGUGGGGUUCUCCAGGCAAGAAUACUGCAGUGUAUUGGCUAAUACUGGUUGCC